ACACAUGCAGUCGACGGCAGCGGGGGGUAGCUUGCUACCCCGCCGGCGAGUGGCGGACGGGUGAGUAAUGCCUGGGGAGCUGCCCAAUCGAGGGGGAUACCAGUUGGAAACGACUGCUAAUACCGCAUACGCCCUGAGGGGGAAAGGUGGGGAUCUUUGGACCUACCGCGAUUGGAUGCACCCAGGUGGGAUUAGCUAGUUGGUGAGGUAACGGCUCACCAAGGCGACGAUCUCUAGCUGGUCUGAGAGGAUGACCAGCCACACUGGAACUGAGACACGGUCCAGACUCCUACGGGAGGCAGCAGUGGGGAAUAUUGCACAAUGGGGGAAACCCUGAUGCAGCCAUGCCGCGUGUGUGAAGAAGGCCUUCGGGUUGUAAAGCACUUUCAGCGAGGAGGAAAGGGGGAUAGCUAAUACCUAUUCUCUGUGACGUUACUCGCAGAAGAAGCACCGGCUAACUCCGUGCCAGCAGCCGCGGUAAUACGGAGGGUGCAAGCGUUAAUCGGAAUUACUGGGCGUAAAGCGCACGCAGGCGGUCAGAUAAGUCAGAUGUGUAAGCCCCGGGCUCAACCUGGGAACUGCAUUUGAAACUGUCUGACUAGAGUCUUGUAGAGGGGGG
rnacentral:rRNA from 1 species